rnacentral:tRNA from 1 species
AAAUAAUUAGUUAAAAAAAAAUAACAUUAGUUUGUCAAACUAAAAUUAUCAAUUUAUGAUAUUUUUUA